UGCUGCGCAUCCUCAGUCAAACCCCGG
rnacentral:piRNA from 1 species